rnacentral:rRNA from 1 species
GUUUUGGUCCUAACUUACUGCUACUUUUAUCAAAUUACACAUGCAGUAUCCGCACACCAGUGAAAUAGCCCAAUCAGUAAAACGGAGCCGGUAUCAGGCACAAAAUUCAGCCCAAAACACCAAGCUACGCCACACCCACACGGGUUUUCAGCAGUGAUAAACAUUAAGCAAUGAGCGAAUAGCACUUUAAAGCUCGACUUAGUUAUGAUUAACAGGGCCGGUCAACCUCGUGCCAGCCACCGCGGUUAUACGAGGGGCCCAAAGCAGCAAACCU